UUUAACUGAAGAGUUUGAUCAUGGCUCAGAUUGAACGCUGGCGGCAGGCUUAACACAUGCAAGUCGAGCGGGGGAAGGUAGCUUGCUACCGGACCUAGCGGCGGACGGGUGAGUAAUGCUUAGGAAUCUGCCUAUUAGUGGGGGACAACAUCUCGAAAGGGAUGCUAAUACCGCAUACGUCCUACGGGAGAAAG
rnacentral:rRNA from 1 species